ACUAGAGAAUUGAAUAAAAGUCUGUAGGGCCAAAGAGUAGUUUGGGCUAGACAUGUGGAAUUGUACUGAAAACUGCAGAAGUGAAUGGGAUCAGCCAAGGAGAGCAUGGAGACCAAGAAGAGAGAGGACUUGCAAUAUUCAGGGAAGCAAUACAGCUCAGGCUCUAAGAGUCCAGGUGUUGGAACUUGUCACUUCUAAUUGGGUCUAAAUCUCCACUCGGCCUCUCAGUAUUCCAGUAAAAUAAAACUACGAGAUGGUUAUAUAAGAUUCACGUUGAAUAUAAGAACAGAGAAAGGGUGGAACCAAGAGAAUGUUGAAAGGUAUAUUAUGCAAAUUGUAUCUGUAAGAAUUCUGGUACCACUUUUAAAAUAUCAAACAAGGUAGAAUUCAAGGCAAUGGACACUCACUUGUAUAGAUAAAGAGGGACAUUUAAUAAAGAGAAAAGAUCAAUCCACCAGAUGGUAUCCUAAUCCUUUAUUUAUAUGCACCUAAAGGCAUAAAGCAAAAAAUAUAAAUCAGAAUACCAGGACAAGUAGAAAAAUUCAUAAUUAUAGUGAGAAAGAAUAAUACAAGGGAUAUUUUUUUGGUAACUAAUAGUGUUUUCAAAAAUUAUCAGUAAGGACCUCAAAGAUUUUACAAAAUUCUUAACAUAUUUGACCUUAUCACAUAUAUAGAACCCAGCAAAUAACAACUGUUGAAUAACUGGGGAGCUGCAGGUUGAAACAUUUUCAGAGCUUGCACAGGUGGGAAAUCAUUCAGUUGUCAUCAGCCAAAUUGCAGAGUCCUCCUGAAUACUGGGAGCAUUCAGUAGAGUCCUCGGAAGGAAAAUAUUUUAGUAUUAGUAAUAAAAUAACCCUAGAGUAAAACGUACCGUAAACAUGCCUGAUAAAAUUUAAAGAUAAGCCUCAAAAGAGUUAAGAUGAUCUGCCUACUAGAACAAAAUCCUGCACCCUUUAAAGGAAGAAAGCAAUCCCGAUAUUCAACCACAUAAAAUUCACAAUGUCCAGCAUUUAGUAAAAACUUUCUAGCAAUACAAAAACAGUAGGAAAAUAUGACCAAUAAUCAAGAGGGAAAAAUAGUCAAUAUAAACAGCCCAGAAAUUAUAGCAGCAUCUCAGUUGAGGUUAACAUCCAAAGACUUUAAAGAGCUAUUAUAAAUGUUCCCAAGGAUUUAAAGGAAAAUAUUAAUAUAAUAAGGAGUUAAAUAGAAGACAUAAAGGCUACCAAGUGAAGCUUUGAGAGAUUUAAAAAUACAAUUUCUGAAUGAAAAUUUUAUUCAUUGAGGUUAAUGGUAGACUCGACACUGCAAAAUAAAAGGUCAUUGAGUUGGCUGGCCUAGCAAUAGAAACUAAGAGUUUCCUCAGUGAUCUGUGGGACAAUACCAAGAUGUCUAAUAUAUAUAUAUAUAUAUAUAUAUAUAUAUAUAUAUAUAUAUAUAUAUAUAGUUAGGGAACAAUAAAAAUAUUUGAAAAAAUAAUGGCAGAACAUUUCCCAAAUUUAAGGAAAACUAAAAACUCAGAGAUUCAAGAAUCUCAAUGAAGCCAAGCAGGAUAAAAACAAAUAAGGCCACACCAAAGCAUAUAAUGACAAAAUAUCUGAAAACUAGUAAUAAAAAGAAAAUCUUAACAGCAGCUGGAGAAGUUGACAAAGAAACAGAAAGAAAAACAAAGGUAAAAGUCACUAUGUAUGGAUUACUUAUCAGAAAUAGUGUAAGCCAGAAUACAAGGGAAAGUCAUGUUUGAAGUGCUUAAAAAAAAAAACUGUCAUACUAGAAUUUGAUGUCUAUUUAAAUAUCCUUGAAAAUAAUGAUAAAAUACUUCAGUAUUCAACAAAGCCUGAGAGAGUUUGUUGCCAGUAGACUAGCAAUAUAAAAAGUAUUUUUAAAAAUGUACUUCAGACUAAAGGAAAAGGAUGCCAGAUGGAACACUGAAUCUGGGCAAAGAACUAAAGAACACUAAAUAUGGUAAAUAUGUAAGUAAAUAUAAUUUUUCUCAGUUUUAAAUAUUUUUAAAAGAUUAUUUUAAAACUAAUAUAAGAUUGGGCUUCCCUGGUGGCGCAGUGGUUGGGAGUCCACCUGCCGAUGCAGGGGAUACAGGUUCGUGCCCCGGUCCGGGAGGAUCCCAUGUGCAGCGGAGCGGCUGGGCCCAUGAGCCAUGGCCACUGAGCCUGCGCGUCCAGAGCCUGUGCUCCACAACAGGAGAGGCCACAGCAGUGAGAGGCCCGCGUACCUCAAAAAACAAACAAACAAACAAACAAACAAAAAACCCCAAAAAACUAAUAUAAGAUAAAUACAUUAUGGAAUUUAUAUGAUAUACACCAGUAAAAUAUAUGACAAAAAUACCACAAUAAGGGAGAAGAAAAUGGAAUAUGAUUAUUGUAGGAUUCUUACAUUCAUAUGUGAAUUGCUAAAUCAGUAUUCGAAAGUAGAUAGUAAGAAGUUAAAAAUACAUUAUGCAAAUUCCACAGAAACUAGUAAAAAUAAAGUGUACUAACAAGCCAACAGAGGAGAUGACAUAAAUUACUAAAAAUGUUCAAGUAAUCCAAAUGAAGGCAAGAAAAGAGGAAAAAUUUAAAAAGAGACACAAUCAAAUAGAAAACAAAUAGCAAAAUAUCAAAUUUGAACCAAAUUUUGUUGAAAAUUACAUUAAACAUAAGUGUUAUGAACACUCCAAUUAAAAGGCUUGCUUGUCUGACUGGAUGAAAAGGCAAGACUCAAAUAUUUGCUCUACAAGAAAUAGACUUUAGGGACUUCCCUGGUGGUCCAGUGGUUAAGACUUUGCCUCCCAGUGCAGGGGUUGCGGGUUCGAGCCCUGGUCGGGGAGCUGAGAUCCCACAUGCCUCACAGCCAAAAAACCCAAACAUAAAACAGAAGCAAUAUUGUAACAAAUUCAAUAAAAACAUUAAAAAAUGGUUCACAUCAAAAAAAAUCUUAAAAAAAGAAAUAGACUUUAAAUAUAAAGACACAAAUAGGCUAAAUUCAAUGGGUAGAAAAGUAUAUUAAGAAAAACUCUAAUCACAAGAAAGGCUUGUGGUUAUGUUAACAUUAGACAAAGUAUACUUUAGAACAAGCAAUAUUCAGAAAAACAAAGACAUUUUUAUAAUGAUAGAAAGAUUAAUUCAUCAAGAGGUCAUAGAAAUCCUAAAUAUGCUGCACCCAAUAAUAUGCUUCAAAAUGCUUGAGCAAAUCCUAACACUGAAAAGAUACAUAGACAAAUCUGAAAUUAUAGUUGUAGAUUUCAAUGCUCCUCUCUCAAUAAUUGAUGGAGCAAGUAGACAAAAAAUUAAGGAUAUAAAAUCCUGAACAUUAACACAUGAAAAUCUGCACACAAAUAUUUGUAGUAGUUUAUAAUUGCCAAAGUGUGGAAACAACCAAGAUGUCCUUCAACAGGUGAAUGGAUAAACAAACUGUGGUUCAUCUAUAAAUGGAACAGUAUUCAACAAUAAAACUACAUGAGCUAUGAAGCCACAAAAAGACAUGGAGGAAACUUAAAUGUAUAUUUCUAAGUGACAGAAGACAAACUGAAAAGGCUCCAUACUGUAUGAUUCCAACUAUAUGACAUUCUGGAAAAGGCAAAAUUAUGGAGACAGUAAAAAGAUCCGUGGUUGCCAGGGACCAGGGAGAAGAAAGCAAGGAUGCACUGGUGGAGCACAGCGGAUUUUUAGGGUACUGAAAGUAUCCUGUAUGAUACUACAAUGGUGGAUAAAUGUCAUUAUAUGUUUGUCAAAACUCAUAGAGUGUACAAUACAAAGAGUGGACUCAUAUAAACUCUGGACUUUAGUUAAUAAUAAUGCAUCAAUAUUGGUUGGUUCAUCAGCAGAUGUUAACUAAACUUAUCGUGGUGGACAUUUUGCAGUAUAUACAUAUAAUCAUUGUUGUACACCUGAAAGUAAUAUAAUGUUAAAUGUCAAUUAUCUCUCAAUAAAAAAUAAAAUAAUAAAAUGAAAAAAAUAGCGGCUCAUCAGUUGUAGCAAAUGUACCAUUCUAAUGCAAGAUGCUAAUAUUAGGGAAACUGUUGGGGGCAGAAGGUGUGUAUGGGAACUCUGUACUUUUGAUUUACUGUUUGUGUAAACCUAAAACUGCUCUAAAAAAAUUAAGCCUAUCAAUUAAAAAAAAACCUGAACAACACUAUUAACUUGACCUAAUUGAAAUUUGUAGAACAAAUUUCAACCAACCAACAACAGCAGAAUAAGUAUUUUUGAGUAAACAUGGAAUAUUCCAAAACAUUCAACCAUAUUCUUAAGACAGACAAGUUUAAAAAAAUUUGAGGAUUAAAAUCAUACAGAGUAUGGUCACUGCUGGCAGCUGAAUUAAGUUAGUAAUGAAUAACAGGAAUAUAUCAGAAUAUCCUCUAAUACUUGAAUUUUAAACAACAUGAUUAUAAAUAAUCCAUGGAUCAAUGAAGACCUCACAAAGAGAAUUAUAAAAUACUUUGACCUGAGUAAUAAGAACAUAAUAUAUCGGGCUUCCCUGGUGGUGCAGUGGUUGAGAGCCCACCUUCCGAUGCAGGGGACACGGGUUCGUGCCCCAGUCCGGGAAGAUCCCACAUGCCACGGAGCGGCUAGGCCCGUGAGCCAUGGCCGCUGAGCCUGUGCGUCCGGAGCCUGUGCUCCGCAACGGGAGAGGCCACAGCAGUGAGAGGCCCGCGUACUGCAAAAAAAAAAAAAAAAAAAAAAGAACAUAAUAUAUCAAAAUAUGUGGGGUGUAGAUGUGUCCAUGCCAUGACCAAGUGGUGUUUAUUUUAGGGAUGCAAGGCUGAUUCAACAUUCAAAAAUCAACCAAUGUAAUCCACCAAAUAAAAAAUAUAUAUCAUUUCAAUUAAUGCAUAUAAAGCAUUUGAGGGACUUCCCUGGUGGCGCAGUGGUUAAGAAUCCGCCUGCCAAUGUAGGGGAAAUGGAUUCAAGCCCUGGUCCGGAAGAUCCCACAUGCUGCAGGGCAACUAAGCCCGUGCGCCACAACUACUGAGCCCGUGCUCUAGAGCCCGCAAGCAACAACUACUGAGCCCGCAUGCCACAACUACUGAAGCCCGCACGCCUAGAGCCCAUGUUCCGCAACAAGAGAAGCCACCACAAUGAGAAGCCUGGGCACCGCAACGAAAAGUAGCCCCCCACUCACCACAACUAGAGAAAGCCCGUGCACAGCAACAAAGACCCAACGCAGCCAAAAAUAAUAAAAAUAACAAUAAUAAUAAAUAAACUAAAAAAAAGGCAUUUGAUAAAUUCCAAACCCUUUCAUGAUUAAAAACUCUAAGUUAAGAAUAGAGGGAAACUGGGGCUUCCCUGGUGGCACAGUGGUUGAGAGUCCGCCUGCAGAUGCAGGGGACGCGGGUUCGUGCCCCGGUCCGGGAAGAUCCCACAUGCUGCGGAGCGGCUGGGUCUGUGAGCCAUGGCCGCUGAGCCUGCGCGUCCGGAGCCUGUGCUCUGCAACGGAAGAGGCCACAAAAGUGAGAGGCCCGCGUACCGCAAAAAAAAAAAGAAUAGAGGGAAACUUUCUCCACUUUAUACAGAGUAUUGACAGUGACCUACAGAUAACACUGUACUUAAUACUGAAAGACUGAAUACUUUCCCCCUAAGACAGGGUGCAAGACAAGAAUGUCUGCUCUCUUCACUCUUAUUAAACAUAGUGUUGGGAGUUCUAGCCAUUGCAGGAAGGCAAGAAAAUGGAAUGAAAAGCAUACAAAUUAGAAAAGAAGAAAUAAAGGAAGAAAUAAAACUGUCCCUAUUUGCAGAUGACAUGCAUGAUUGCCUAUAUAUUGUAGAAUAUCCCAAGGAACCUACAUUUUGUUAUCUUUUAAAUAACUCCCACAUGAACUUGCAAAGAAAUGUGUUUCAAAGAAGAAUAUAUUCAAAAAAUAAAAGAAGACCAUUAUUUGCUGAUGUGUAAAGGAUUCCUCUAUUCUAUACAAGUGUGUCAUCAGGCUACUUAUGAAAUGUUAAGAGGCUUGGUUGUGUUGACUCUCCACCAGGCUAUAGCCUCAAAGGACUUCAUGUUAAGCUAGGGGAAAUUUGAAGUAGCCAGGAGAAAUCAUUCCAUCUCACCAAGUUGUUCACCCAGGACCACAAAGGACUGUCACACUCUAUGCCCACCAGGGAACAUCAAAGGGGAGAGUGAGUGUCUGGGGGUCAUAUGGUGUGGGUUUGAGUCCCAGCCUUGCCACUUAUAAUUAGCUGGUGCUGCAGACAAACCCCUUCAGCCUCUACUUCCUCUUCGGUAAAACAGGUAUAAAAGUGGUACCUACCUCAGAGACCUGUGCUGAGGAUUAGAUGACGCAAAUAGAGCACUUAACACAAUCCCUGUCACAUAGUAUAGGGUAUUUACAGUAAAGGCUACUUACAAAACCUGUACAAAAUGAGAAACUUCAGGAGAUAAUAACAAAAAUAUACAGAGGCAUAUUUGCUGAUCUUUAUGUUUUCUGCUCUUAUGUCACAUGGCGUGGAGAUCCCUGGUUCUUUGAGCAAAGCCAGAGCCAGCUAUUCAAUACCAAAAGGUGAUGGUAAUGGACUACAUGAUCUUCUCUUUCAGCCUGUUCUUUGUUCUUUUCUUCUGAGAGUUGCAGACACCAAUGGAGUUUGAGAAUCUUUCAUCUUAGAGAGGCUGAAUCUCCUGGAGUUAAGUUGUCCGAAGUUGUUUCCACAUUUGAAAAGCCCUGUGGGACAUUAAUAUGAUGAGGAGCAGAAGAGAGAGAAUCAGCUGCAACAUGAAAAAGUGAUAGGGAAUCAUGUCUGACCAACCACCCAUUGUGAUGGACAGAUUUUCACUCAGAGAAGGCCCUCUCUUCACUCUGCCAACAGCAAGGAGUCCAUAAUUUUAAAGUGUUGGAAGAGGAGCUGUCCCACAGUCACAAACUCUCUGGGUUGUCGUCUCCUCUUUCACUCAGUCUAAGUUCACAGUGAUGGGUGAUUUGGGCAAGAGGCUUAAAGGGAGGCUGGCCAGAGCAGUUCAGUGUCUGUUGACCUGGCAACGGGGUGGCUCCAUUAUUACCCGCCUCUUUUUUUUCUCCUCUGAAACUUCCAUUAUUACCCUAGCAUGCAGAGCUGCUUAUCAGAGUCUUGGUUGCCAGUUCAGCCUUGGGUGGAGGAGCUACUGCUAGUUUUCCUAGAAACUUUAUUCACUGACUAAUUUAUUUGGUGUUUCCCAUUUCGUACUGAAAAAAUGACUUGUGAUUCUUUUCUGCCAGUAUAUGGGGUGGGAAAAGAAAUGUAGCACUCAUCAAAAGUGUCCAGCCACUGUUUGUCACAUGUAGUUAUCUCCUUCUGGGCUUCACUAUAAAUCCUUACUCUUGUUUUGGGUGGAUUAUGCUAGACAUGGGGUUCUUUGUCCCCCAGGGCCCUCAAGGAAAGACCUCAUCCACCCUCCUCCCCAAUUAGUCUCAGGGAGAGGAGGUCAUUUCUCAGAAGCCCUUUGCCUGGCUCUCAUCAGAGGCAGCUCCCUUCACUUUGCCAGGAGGCCUAAAUUAAUUCCUUUAAAAGAAUCUACCACAUGAACAACCUUACUCUGUGACUCUCUCCAUGUCUAAAACUGAUGGAACUGAAUACAACCUCUGAGUUAUAAUUCUUGCCUAGAAACAGCUUUCUUCCAAAGGAGGAUCCUGCCACCUCCCUGCUCUCCUGGAGUGAUCCACCGGGAUCAGAAAGAUGCUCAUCAGGAGGCAUCCAGCACCCUGGGAAUGUGAGGACGGUACAGUCACUGUGUGACUUAGGGCCUUGGUCCCAUUCCCUUCCAGCCUCAAUGGGCCUGUGAAGACGGAAGCCGAGCCAUACAUUCAAAGGAAAAAGGAAGAGGGACUCACAAUUUUUGAGGACAGAUCUGCUGAGAGUCAGGAAUCUGGUGGAGCUUUACCCUACUAGUAGUGGAGGGGGCAAGAGAGGGUGAACUACAGAUGUGAAUAUAUUUGAGGGGCAGCAUGAUCUGGAGAGCAUGUGGAGAGAAGAAGGAAAAUACACACAUGUUUCCAUUUUGACUGUGAGUCAAUGCCGUUUCAUGCAGUGGAAUAAGUGCCUUGAGGGCUGGGGAAAAAAGGUGUUUGCACCAUUUCCAUUCAACUGAGUCAUGUGCCCCAUGAAUGGAGUUUGGGGUAAGGGAAUGAACUCACCACUGACUCUGUUUCCCGUGUUUCCCAUGUUUUCCUGUCCCCUUAUUUCCUUGUUUCACAUGAGAGAAGAGUGAUUUCUUUGAGAUCCUGAAGGGUGAGAUCAAAGCCACUUGUCUGCCAGACAGGACACUGGACACUGGAUCAAGAGAGACAGGAGACCUCCCUGUUCAUGUCUGACCCUACAGUACCAUCCAGGAGAUCUCCCUGGGUCCCGGGGGCAGACCUCACCUCAAAACUCUGGGAUGACCUUGGGAGGAGAAGUCAGAGAUUCAAAGUACAAGAAAGAUUAAAUGUGCUGUUGCAAACAAAAAAUUUUGCAAUUUGUAUGGAAACACAAAAGACCCCGAAUAGCCAAAGCAAUCUUGAGAACAAAAGAAGGGACUGGAGGAAUCAGGCUCCCUGACUUCAGACAAUUCUACAAAGCUACAGUAAUCAAGACAGUAUGGUACUGGCACAAAAACGGAAAGAUAGAUCAAUGGAACAGGAUAGAAAGCCCAGAGAUAAACCCAUGCACAUAUGGACACCUUAUCUUUGAUAAAGGUGGCAGUAAUGUACAGUGGAGAAAGGACAGCCUCUUCAAUAAGUGGUGCUGGGAAAACUGGACAGGUACAUGUAAAGUAUGAGAUUAGAUCACUCCCUAACACCAUACACAAAAAUAAGCUCAAAAUGGAUUAAAGACCUAAAUGUAAGGCCAGAAACUAUCAAACUCUUAGAGGAAAACAUAGGGAGAACACUCUAUGACAUAAAUCACAGCAAGAUCCUUUCUGACCCACCUCCUAGAGUAAUGGAAAUAAAAACAAAAAUAAACAAAUGGGACCUAAUGAAACUUCAAAGCUUUUGCACAGCAAAGGAAACCAUAAACAAGACCAAAAGACAACCCUCAGAAUGGGAGAAAAUAUUUGCAAAUGAAGCAACCGACAAAGGAUUAAUCUCCAAAAUUUACAAGCAGCUCAUGCAGCUCAAUAACAAAAAAACAAACAACCCAAUCCAAAAAUGGGCAGAAGACCUAAAUAGACAUUUCUCCAAAGAAGAUAUACAGACUGCCAACAAACACAUGAAAGAAUGUCAACAUCAUUAAUCAUUAGAGAAAUGCAAAUCAAAACUACAAUGAGAUAUCAUCUCACACCAGUCAGAAUGGCCAUCAUCAAAAAAUCUAGAAACAAUAAAUGCUGGAGAGGGUGUGGAGAAAAGGGAACACUCUUGCACUGCUGGUGGGAAUGUGAAUUGGUUCAGCCACUAUGGAGAACAGUAUGGAGGUUCCUUAAAAAACUACAAAUAGAACUACCAUAUGACCCAGCAAUCCCACUACUGGGCAUAUACCCUGAGAAAACCGAAAUUCAAAAAGAGUCAUGUACCAAAAUGUUCAUUGCAGCUCUAUUUACAAUAGCCCGGAGAUGGAAACAACCUAAGUGCCCAUCAUCGGAUGAAUGGAUAAAGAAGAUGUGGCACAUAUAUACAAUGGAAUAUUACUCAGCCAUAAAAAGAAACGAAAUUGAGCUAUUUGUAAUGAGGUGGAUAGACCUAGAGUCUGUCAUACAGAGUGAAGUAAGUCAGAAAGAAAAAGACAAAUACCGUAUGCUAACACAUAUAUAUGGAAUUUAAGAAAAAAAAUGUCAUGAAGAACCUAGGGGUAAGGCAGGAAUAAAGACGCAGACCUCCUAGAGAACGGACUUGAGGUUAUGGGGGGGGGGGAAGGGUGAGCUGUGACAGGGCGAGAGAGAGUCAUGGACAUAUACACACUAACAAACGUAGUAAGGUAGAUAGCUAGUGGGAAGCAGCCGCAUGGCACAGGGAUAUUGGCUUGGU